rnacentral:rRNA from 1 species
AGAGUUUGAUCCUGGCUCAGGAUGAACGCUAGCGACAGGCUUAACACAUGCAAGUCGAGGGGCAGCACAGGUAGCAAUACCGGGUGGCGACCGGCGCACGGGUGAGUAACGCGUAUGCAACUUACCUAUCAGAGGGGGAUAACCCGGCGAAAGUCGGACUAAUACCGCAUGAAGCAGGGGCCCCGCAUGGGGAUAUUUGCUAAAGAUUCAUCGCUGAUAGAUAGGCAUGCGUUCCAUUAGGCAGUUGGCGGGGUAACGGCCCACCAAACCGACGAUGGAUAGGGGUUCUGAGAGGAAGGUCCCCCACAUUGGUACUGAGACACGGACCAAACUCCUACGGGAGGCAGCAGUGAGGAAUAUUGGUCAAUGGCCGAGAGGCUGAACCAGCCAAGUCGCGUGAGGGAUGAAGGUUCUAUGGAUCGUAAACCUCUUUUAUAAGGGAAUAAAGUGCGGGACGUGUCCCGUUUUGUAUGUACCUUAUGAAUAAGGAUCGGCUAACUCCGUGCCAGCAGCCGCGGUAAUACGGAGGAUCCGAGCGUUAUCCGGAUUUAUUGGGUUUAAAGGGAGCGUAGAUGGAUGUUUAAGUCAGUUGUGAAAGUUUGCGGCUCAACCGUAAAAUUGCAGUUGAUACUGGAUAUCUUGAGUGCAGUUGAGGCAGGCGGAAUUCGUGGUGUAGCGGUGAAAUGCUUAGAUAUCACGAAGAACUCCGAUUGCGAAGGCAGCCUGCUGGACUGUAACUGACGCUGAUGCUCGAAAGUGUGGGUAUCAAACAGGAUUAGAUACCCUGGUAGUCCACACAGUAAACGAUGAAUACUCGCUGUUUGCGAUAUACAGUAAGCGGCCAAGCGAAAGCGUUAAGUAUUCCACCUGGGGAGUACGCCGGCAACGGUGAAACUCAAAGGAAUUGACGGGGGCCCGCACAAGCGGAGGAACAUGUGGUUUAAUUCGAUGAUACGCGAGGAACCUUACCCGGGCUUGAAUUGCAACUGAAUGAUGUGGAGACAUGUCAGCCGCAAGGCAGUUGUGAAGGUGCUGCAUGGUUGUCGUCAGCUCGUGCCGUGAGGUGUCGGCUUAAGUGCCAUAACGAGCGCAACCCUUGUUGUCAGUUACUAACAGGUUCCGCUGAGGACUCUGACAAGACUGCCAUCGUAAGAUGUGAGGAAGGUGGGGAUGACGUCAAAUCAGCACGGCCCUUACGUCCGGGGCUACACACGUGUUACAAUGGGGGGUACAGAAGGCAGCUACCUGGCGACAGGAUGCUAAUCCCAAAAACCUCUCUCAGUUCGGAUCGAAGUCUGCAACCCGACUUCGUGAAGCUGGAUUCGCUAGUAAUCGCGCAUCAGCCAUGGCGCGGUGAAUACGUUCCCGGGCCUUGUACACACCGCCCGUCAAGCCAUGGGAGCCGGGGGUACCUGAAGUGCGUAACCGCGAGGAGCGCCCUAGGGUAAAACUGGUGACUGGGGCUAAGUCGUAACAAGGUAGCCGUACCGGAAGG